rnacentral:rRNA from 1 species
GUGAGGAAUUUUCCGCAAUGGGCGAAAGCCUGACGGAGCAAUGCCGCGUGAAGGAUGAAGGCCUAUGGGUUGUAAACUUCUUUUCUUAGAGAGGAAUAUUGACGGUAUCUGAGGAAUAAGCAUCGGCUAACUCUGUGCCAGCAGCCGCGGUAAGACAGAGGAUGCAAGCGUUAUCCGGAAUGAUUGGGCGUAAAGCGUCUGUAGGUGGCUUCAAAAGUCUCCUGUCAAAGAUCAGGGCUUAACCCUGGGCCGGCAGGAGAAACUCUGAGGCUAGAGUUUGGUAGGGGCAGAGGGAAUUCCCGGUGGAGCGGUGAAAUGCGUAGAGAUCGGGAGGAACACCAAAGGCGAAAGCACUCUGCUGGACCACAACUGACACUGAGAGACGAAAGCGAGGGGAGCAAAAGGGAUUAGAAACCCUGGUAGUCC